rnacentral:rRNA from 1 species
UUAUUAUGAGAGUUUGAUCCUGGCUCAGGACGAACGCUGGCGGCGUGCCUAAUACAUGCAAGUCGAACGCUUCUUUCCUCCCGAGUGCUUGCACUCGAUUGGAAAGAGGAGUGGCGGACGGGUGAGUAACACGUGGGUAACCUACCCAUCAGAGGGGGAUAACACUUGGAAACAGGUGCUAAUACCGCAUAACAGUUUAUGCCGCAU